rnacentral:rRNA from 1 species
CUUUCCGUAGGUGAACCUGCGGAAGGAUCAUUACCGAGUUUUCGAGCUCCGGCAUCGACUCUCCCACCCUUUGUGAACGUACCUCUGUUGCUUUGGCGGCUCCGGCCGCCAAAGGACCUUCAAACUCCAGUCAGUAAACGCAGACGUCUGAUAAACAAGUUAAUAAACUAAAACUUUCAACAACGGAUCUCUUGGUUCUGGCAUCGAUGAAGAACGCAGCGAAAUGCGAUAAGUAAUGUGAAUUGCAGAAUUCAGUGAAUCAUCGAAUCUUUGAACGCACAUUGCGCCCCUUGGUAUUCCGGGGGGCAUGCCUGUUCGAGCGUCAUUACAACCCUCAAGCUCUGCUUGGAAUUGGGCACCGUCCUCACUGCGGACGCGCCUCAAAGACCUCGGCGGUGGCUGUUCAGCCCUCAAGCGUAGUAGAAUACACCUCGCUUUGGAGCGGUUGGCGUCGCCCGCCGGACGAACCUUCUGAACUUUUCUCAAGGUUGACCUCGGAUCAGGUAGGGAUACCCGCUGAACUUAAGCAUAUCAAUAAGCGGAGGAA